rnacentral:rRNA from 1 species
UUGAAUUGAAGAGUUUGAUCAUGGCUCAGAUUGAACGCUGGCGGCAGGCUUAACACAUGCAAGUCGAACGGUAGCAGGAGAAAGCUUGCUUUCUUGCUGACGAGUGGCGGACGGGUGAGUAAUGCUUGGGAAUCUGGCUUAUGGAGGGGGAUAACGACGGGAAACUGUCGCUAAUACCGCGUA